ACGGCCAUACCUAGGCGAAAACACCAGUUCCCGUCCGAUCACUGCAGUUAAGCGUCUGAGGGCUUCGUUAGUACUCCGGGGUGCUGUAGGUUUUUUCACUUUUGCUGCUCAUUUU
rnacentral:rRNA from 1 species